CACCGCCAUGUGGGGCCGUGGAGAAGCUGCAGGCCCAUUUUCCAUGAGUCAGAAGGGAAGCUGGGUUGUGUUCCUGAACUUUCUUGUAGAGUUUCCCUCUGGAUGCUGCUAGCACUAACAGCCAGAAUCCUGGUAGCCACAUUUGUGGAUGUGGAAAGACACCCACAGUCUGUUGUGCUGUGACAAAAGCUGGCUGGAGGACUGCACGUUGACGACGAGCCUAUCUGUGCAGAGCUGGGCACGUGUGCAUGUCUGUCUCUGGAAGACAGAAGCUGGCUACCCGGGGCUAAUGCCUUCUCAAAAGCCGAGGGCUGGCCGACAGGGCCUCUGAGGAGGUUGAGGGGCACGUGGCUAAAGGCAUAUCCUCCGCCCUGAAAAAUCCGGAUCAAGGAGACAUGAUGUCACCCCAGCAUGGGCCACUAGACUGGAUGACUGGGCACUCGGCAGGCAUGUGGUCACAAAGCAAACCAUCUCACCCCGUGAAGAAGUGACGAUCCUUUAGUAUUCGAAGGUUUGCAAACGGAAGACAGAAAGAAACCAACGCAGACCAAUGGUUGAGAGAACUGGCUUUCCAAUUGGAUUGGCUGGGUCCCGAUCCUAAUUCUGCCGCCUAUUGGCUGUGCAAUGUGGGAUCCUCCAAAAGCCCCAGUUCUUCCAACUCUGAAAUAGAGGAGAAGAACCUAUUCUGUGGGGUUGCUUAUGAGGAUUAAGUGAAAUAAUGCAUGCAGAGCUCCUAGUACAAAAUAAGACCCGAAUAACAUUUGCCAUCACCCUUGGUGGCAUCCUCAUUGUCAUUGUUUUUAUUAUUGAUGGUUCUGCAUGGCCCCAGAGAACAGAGGCAGGAGCAAUGGGUGGGAACUGCAGGGGGACUGCUAGUGGUUAGACUCCAGAAAGAACAGUCCAUUAGAACUGUAGAGAAAGGGAAUAGGAAGAAGGGAGGGU
rnacentral:lncRNA from 1 species